rnacentral:lncRNA from 1 species
GAAAAUCUAGGAGAUGUGAGUGACUCCUUAAAAAUAUUGACCUGGGCUGGGGAUGUGGCUCAAGCGGUAGCGCGCUCGCCUGGCAUGCGUGCUGCCCGGGUUCAAUCCUCAGCACCACAUAACAAACAAAGAUGUUGUGUCCACCGAAAACUAAAAAAUAAAUAUUAAAAAAUUCUCUCUCUCUCUUUAAAAAAAAAUAUUGAGCUGUAAAGUAGAAAAUCUGAAGAGAUUAAUUACCAUAGAAAAAUUGGAGAUGGUACAAUCAGAUAUUAAGACAUUUCCUCUAAUGUGUAGAAAAUAGAGGGCAUCUGAUGAUCAUUAUUAUUAAUGUUCUUUUGGAGACCAAUGAAUGUAAUAAGAGAGGUAAACAAAGUAAUCUGUAUAAAUGUUGGAUAAUGAGUCAUGAAGUUAUUUCUUUUGCUGUUUAUAUAAUUGUAUGCCUAAGAAAUGCUAAGAACUUCAGUUAAAAACAACAGAAUAAGGGAAUUUGAUAAGGUUUUUGGAUAUCAGAAAAACAGACAAUACUCCCUUUCUUUUUUCAUUUUCAUUAUCUAGAGAUAUAAAUAAGUAUUCCUUUUGUCAUGCCAAAAAAUAAGGUAUUUAUUUACAUAUCUAUUUAGUAUCUAGUAUGUAUUUGGUAUAGUAUUUAUAAAUGUCAGAAACACACAUUAAAAAUCAGGUAGUGGGCUGGGGAUGUGGCUCAAGUGGUAGCACACCCACCUGGCAUGCAUGAGGCACUGGGUUCGAUCCUUAACACCACAUAAAAAUAAAAUAAAGAUAUUGUGUCCACCUAAAAUUAAAAAAUAAAUAUAAAAAAAUUCAGGUAGUAACAUGUAGACAUUUUCAGUGUACAGUUUUAUGAGUUUUGGCAAAUGUAUAUUCCUGUACAACCACCACCCAAUCAAGAUACAGAAAAUUUCCAUUAUCCCAGACAUUUCCUCAUACUCAUUUCCAAUCCAUCCUCACCCCCAGUACCUCUGAUCUGAUUUCUAUCACUAUAGUUUUGCCACAAUAUAA